rnacentral:rRNA from 1 species
GACGAACGCUGGCGGCGUGCUUAACACAUGCAAGUCGAACGCUGAAGCUUGGUGCUUGCACUGGGUGGAUGAGUGGCGAACGGGUGAGUAAUACGUGAGUAACCUGCCCUUGACUCCGGGAUAAGCCUGGGAAACUGGGUCUAAUACUGGAUACGACAUGUCACCGCAUGGUGGUGUGUGGAAAGGGUUUUACUGGUUUUGGAUGGGCUCACGGCCUAUCAGCUUGUUGGUGGGGUAAUGGCUCACCAAGGCGACGACGGGUAGCCGGCCUGAGAGGGUGACCGGCCACACUGGGACUGAGACACGGCCCAGACUCCUACGGGAGGCAGCAGUGGGGAAUAUUGCACAAUGGGCGGAAGCCUGAUGCAGCGACGCCGCGUGAGGGAUGACGGCCUUCGGGUUGUAAACCUCUUUCAGCACGGAAGAAGCGAAAGUGACGGUACGUGCAGAAGAAGCGCCGGCUAACUACGUG